rnacentral:lncRNA from 1 species
AUUCUAACACUAGUAGAAAUGCCUAUGCUUUAUUCUUCUGAAGGUGGGAAAAAAGAUAAAACUAAAUAAACGGAUUAUUCAUCCAAAUUUCAGUUUGAAUAAGAUAAUUGACGAAGGUGGUGCUUUGAACAUUUUCGCUGAAGUCGAAAUUAAAAGAUAUUUUUGGCCGGUAAUUAUUCCAAAAAAUACUAUCAAACCGGCUUAACUUAUUUCCUUAUUUUUUGACGCUUUCCUUUCCAGUGAAAGACCUUAUUAG